rfam:Ailuropoda melanoleuca scaffold475_58, whole genome shotgun sequence.
CCUUGCUACCAUGCCACCCUGAACGCUCCUGAUCUCAUCUGGUCAGAAGCUAAGCAGGAUCAGGCCUGGUUAGUAUUUGGUUGGGAGACCACCAAACAUUUAAAGAGUUAAUAC